rnacentral:lncRNA from 1 species
CACAAUCAUCCUUUUAAAAUAUUAACUACCUGGCUGUGUGUCUCGUUAUGAAGAAUUCGGUUAAUAUAGCUGUCGCUUUACUUUUCCUGAGAUUUUAUUCAGGUGAUACUGGUAAGUAAAUCUAUUUUUAUUUUCAUUGACUUGUAACUUGAUGAUCACUAAGUAACUAGCCGUUAACAUGGUUAAGACAAAACUAAACCUUUCAGUAUGGGUAUGCGUUUGAAAAAGACAAAAAUAUAGUAUGUAAUCGUUCUAAAGACAUGAAUGUAGUUUCAUCAUCUGCAUUCAUGGAAGACAAUUGCAAAAUUAAUAUUAUAGCACAAAAUACAUGCAACCGACCAGUUAGAAAACACAUUUUUUCUACCGCAAAAUAAGUGACAAGUUUGUAUGACAUUAGCCUUAUUAUCAUACGCGAAGCUUUCAACGUACAUCUUUAUCAUGAAAUCGAUCAGAUAUUGAUAAAAUUGAAAAUGGACAUGUGGAAUGUGUCAAAGAGACUAUAACCCGACAUAAGAGCAGACAACAGCAGAAGACCACCAAUGGGUCUUCAAUGUAGCGAGAAACUCUCGCACCCGGAGGUGUGCUUCAGCUGGCCCUUAAAAUAUAUACAUGUACUGAUACUGAUACUAAGUUCGCCUGUAUCGUGUCCUAAAUGCAAACUUACCAAAGAGUUCUAUAAAAAGAUCUAUUGUUCAAUCAAGAAAGAAAUAUCAUAUACUUAUUAAACUACAUAUCAUACAGCCCAUGAUACUUAUGUUACAAAGAGGCGAAGGAAGGGCACCUGCCCUCUCCCCUAUAUCCGCCUCUGAAAUAUAAUACACAAAUGUAUUGUGUAAGAAAUAUCACACUACUUUAAACAAUUCAGGAAAUGUUCAUUUAAAUACAUGGACGGACAUUUCUAUUCUUUUUCUUCCGUUAAUACCCAUAUUAUUCUCAUAUUAGUAAUAACAAGAAAACGUAAACAAAUGCAAUACCACAUGACAGUGCCGAUGGCUGGUUUAAUUACCAUUAAUAUUAUAUUGCAUACACAUUAUAAUAAACAUCUUUAUAAUGUCCUCAUAUAAAUAUAUAAAUAGUUUAAUGAACACACACACUUAUGUAAAGCAAACCAAUCUCUUAAUGCAUGAUACAAAAUGUUAGAUAACAGAAGUAUUUAAUAAAUUAACGUGACCGAUCGAGGAGUCCUUGUCGUGUCGAAUGCAUGAUUUAACUGCCAAAUCAGAUACAACACAUGACCUAAAAAACGCCACCUAUUGGCAGAAAAUUAAUAAGAAAAUAAUUUCAUUCUAAUUCUUAAAAUCAACCGAUUGAAAUUAUAUUUGUACUUCCGUUAAUACACAUAUAUCAGAACCUAAUAUUAUUCUAAUAAUAAUAAUAACAAGAAAUAGUAAAGUGCAAUACCACACGACAGAGCCGAUUGCCGAAACACAAAGAAAGGGAAAACUUUGAAGAAAGUUUUAUAUCAUGCAAUAAAAGAAUUAAAAAUUAAAGCAAUAAUCUGUAACCUUAAAUUAUUGGACAUUUUAAGUAAAUCAUCUAAGGAGUCAUAAACGUUACCAUCUUUGGUUGUUUCGGAACGCCAUUUAACGUGUCUCGUCAAAUAUGGUCUGGUAAACCCACAUUGACACAAACAGUAGCACCUUAGACCUCAAACUGUGCAAACAGAAAGCUUCAAUAAAGAGCUCACGCAUCCUGGAAUACGACAAAGGUGUAUUCGCUAAACGCAAAACAUAGACAUCUUUACAUUUGGUCAAAUUUCGACAAAUAAACACAUCAGAAUCGCAAGAAAUAUCAGCUCACUGCAAAUAUGAUUCCAUGUUUUUUUACUGGACACUUAUUUGAAUGUGUACGGGCAAUUAAUACUGAAUUGCCAUCUCUAUAUACAUCUGUUUUACCAUGUUGAAUGAGAAUUGAUAUAUAACACUCUCAAAUAACUAUGUUACUUAUUCUAAUAUUAAGCAACUCAGAAACUCUUAAAAAACCUGCAAAUGCAGUUAAAAUCGCACAAAAAAUAUGCUGAUUAUACAAGUUACCAAAAGAAAACAUGGAAUCAUACAUUUUAUGCAGCAAUUCUACCGAAAUAGGUUCUUUUUUAUUCUUCGAAGUAGACAAGCUUAGUGUUACACCUUCUAAUACAUAAAUCACUAAAGACGAUCAGUCGGUGAACAUGAUGAUCCAAUAAGAGAAUGUAUCCACUUUAAAGAGUAAAACGCAUGAAGAACUGGACUAACAGUAGUGCUCGACUGUGUCAAAAAAGCUAGAUAUAUUGCAACGAAAAACGCUUUAGCUUAUAGAAUGUCACCGUUUUCAAUUCGUCGUUUAUCGUCUUAAUAAUGUGAUAAUGUGUUCUUAUAUAUGUCGUUGUUAAAAAUUAAAUAACUGUUUAGUAAAAAAAAAAUUUGGACGUUUGCUCAAUAUUUCCCGUCAUUAUAUAUUUGGACUAUUGUUAAUGUCUGUAUUCUUGUCUUUCUUUUUUGGAUUAUGCAUUUUGUUUUCUUCUUUGUUGACUAUUUGUUAUGUUUUAUAGUGAUUAAGAUUAUUAAAAUCAGGUUUAAUCUACUAUUUUCUACAUACGAAAAUGUCUAAACCAAGAAGGGAACAUGACAGUUGUUAUCAAUUCGUAUGGUGUGUUUUAACUUUCGAGUUUGCUAUUUGAUAUACGACUUUCCGUUUUUUAAUUUUCUCGGAGUUCUUUGUUCUUUCAAUUUUUAAUGUGAAAUUAAUUUCUCUUUCGUCCUGCCAAUAUUGCUCUGAUGAAUGAAGUGAUAUUUUGAGUACUCUAAAAGAUUGUGCAUUCGCUGUAAGCAAGAACAUAGAUAAAACAAUGUGUUUUAACGAAUGACGAAGACAACAAUGGAUAAGCAGACAUAUAUAUUGGUCAAAGACAACUGUUUGUCUUAAAUAUUACGUCGUGUAAUCAAGUCAUAUAUAUUUUAGUGGUUAUGGUUACUGAUCAUGGGACUGACGCAACUAUGCCAUGCAAUACAAAAAGUGGUAUCUUUCAAUGGACAAUGUUAAUUGGUGAUUCCUACCAGAAUCUUCAAUCCUCUUCCAAGUACAGUUUUUCCGGAAAAAAUCUUACAAUACGCAACCUAAAUCAAGACGACAGUGGAUUUUAUCAAUGUGUGAUAUUUAGAAGUGAUGGCAGUGAAAGUGGAAGAGAAACUCCAAUCGAAUUGGUGGUAACAGGUUUGUUAUAUAAAAAUAACAGUUUAUGCGUUAGUUUAAUUUGAUAUCUUUAUUGAAUUGGUUAAUCUAAUUGUCGUCCGUAGACAGUGUAAAUAAACUCAUCAUAGAUAAAAUAUCCUGAGUAAGCCAAAGACAUUAAUACACAAACAAAUACAUUAUAGUCAAAAUAGACAUUAUUAAUAGCAAACAAUAGUAGUAAUAACACACUUAAUCAUAAACAAAAAUAAAAAAUUAUAAAAAUAUAUAUAACAAAGCUCAUUCAGGUAUCAUAAAAGGUAUAAACAUGUACUCGACGCUAAGGUUGACAAAUAAGAAAAUAAUAAGCCAGUUUGAUUUGUUACUUUAUAAAUUACGAUAUCAAUCACAAAAGAGGGACGAAAGAUAUCAAAGGGACAGUCAAACUCAUAAAUCUAAAACAAACUGACACGCAUGUAAAAAUGAAAAAGACAAACAGAAAACAAUACACACACAACACAAACAUCUAAAGAAUAAACAACACUAACCCCACCAAAAAACUAGGGGUGAUCUCAGAGGCUUCGGAAAGGGUAAGCAAGAUCCUGCUCCACAUGUGACCCGUCGUGUGCUUAUUGAUACAAAUCCGGUAAAUAGUUAAUUUCGGUAGGUCACAUUCAUGAAAGGAGGAUUGUAGUUACACGUAAGGAACAUAUCUAUAUCAUUUGGAUGAAACGGUUAUUCCAUAACAGUUAACCAACUCGUGAUGGCGUCGGUAAAAUUUACGAAGGGAUGAUUUCAACUUCACCAUUUGGAACUCUUGGUUUAAUAGCUUCCUUGUGAGCAGUAACCAAAAAAUGCAUAAAAUAUUUGUAACUGGAGGAUUAACAAACAUAAUUCAAUCAAGCAAAACCAACACAAAGUUCUGCAGUCCGCAUGGUUUAUUAUUUGCAGAUGACUUCAUAGAUUUCAACUGAUUUUAAGUUUUGGAGUUUACAACUCAAUACGGGUACCCCUUUCUCAUGCACAUCUAUCCGCCGUCGGCCGAAUUUCAUAAUAUUGUUUAAUAAGUUGGUUUUGCAUUGUGUACUAAAAAAUCUGAUCAUGGCUAUAUACCCUUAAUUAAAUGUCUUUGAGAUUUGUUUCUGAUAUAUUACUCCUUUUUUCUCGUCUAUCAUGAUUUUAUAUCUGCUCUGCUACUCCGUCGCCUCCUGUCAGUAGUUGACAAAGAUAAAAAGAAAGACAUAUUAUGGGGUAUACUAUUUUUAAUCUUCCCAGAAUAGUUGUAACGGAGUAUUUUGUCCAUAUGAAGGAAUAUUUAUAUUGGAAUUAUCUAGGAUAGAGAUUUUAAAUUUAUGGUUGUUGUAGGACAUAAAAAACACAUAUAUCAUUACUAUGCAGUUUAACCACAUGAUUUAUUUGAUACACCUUUAUUGAACUUUUUAAAUCGCCUUUAUGUUUUCAUACGAUACACACAUUUAAAGGAUAAUUUGUCAAACUAUGGCCGUGUUCACAUUGACCUAAACUCGGUGUUGUGUUAGUGUAACUCACACGUAAAUUACACAAUUACGAACCUAUUGAUAAUACUCAAUGUUUACAUGUAGUUUAAAUCAUGUUUUGUCUACAUGCAGUCGAUAGUCAAUGUAGGCCUUGUGUAGCUAUAGGUUAAGUGUACACAAAACUAGGCAUUUAAAACAUUAAUUUAACCAUGUAUAUGUAAGGAAGAAACGAUUUUUGAAUAAAAUUGAAAAUAACAAUUAUUAAUAAAGUUCUUUACAGAAAUAUUUGUCUAAACUUGACAUAUCUAUUUGUUAUGAAAAACCUUUACGUACCUUUAUUAACCUCUUAUUAUUGAUUCAAGACUCAAAACAUCACCUUUGCAGAACACGCAAUUCAUUUAGAAAAGGUCUUCCCGAAUCGACUAGACGUACACAGAAAUAUUUGUAACUGGUCUUUACUCAAACAACGAUUUACUCAUAAAUGCAUUAUUAAAAAAAAGUAUGAGGUAAAUUGUAUUGUUUGUCUAGUAUCUCUGAUCCGUUAAAAUACACUAAGAAAUAAUAAUAAAAAAUCAUUACCCCCUCCGGAUCCCUUUGCCAAAUACUGCUUCUCCUUGGAGAAGAAAUUUCAUUUGAAACAAACAGAAAAGAUAGAAAUGUAGUGAUCCUUAACAUCUCAAUCCUUCAUCUUCGUAUGUAAGCCACUGCUGCAGCCUACAUUUUCUAAUGCGUAACCGAGACAUCUUUAGUAGUAAAUCAUUAAACUGGCUUUUGUAAUAAAGCAACCCCACUUAACUUCAAAAUGGGGGAGGGUGUAAUUUUUUUUCUGAUAUUUUUUUUCGCGCGAACGUUUUUAUUCAUUUUUUUUACGAUGCUAGCAAUCUAAUAAUUUUUUUCAAUAUUUUACACUAUAAUGUAUGGGGAAUUUCUGUAUUCAGAAUAUAUCUUUUCUAUCAUCUGUAUGACCAGAAUAUUUUUUUUUUUGUGAACACGGCCUAAAUCGAGUAUAUAUUACAUGUUUAGUUUAAUGCGUUCUUGUUUUUUUAUUUUUUAUAAUAGUUUGGGUUUAGUUUGACAACAGGGUUUAUUGACCUCUUCCUAAUUACAAUAAUUUAAAUUAAGUUAUAAUGGUUAUAAAUCAAAUAAUUACGUAUUCAAUGUAUGUUGUGUUAAUAGCGUACUGUCCGUAAAAUUCAGAGCCCGUUAUUAGUUUGUGGUACGAUUUUUUUUUAUUUUUCUGAGAAAAACAUUACUUUUAUAUUAUGUAUAACACAAGAUUCCUACAUUUGUAUGCACAGUUGUGCAUUCAACUUUUAUCUUUUGGAUUUUAAAUAUUUAUAAACAAUGUACGUCAGAUUUGCGAGACUAGGUUUGUUCAGGGAAAUACCUGUUCCUUUUAAAACAUGGGUCUUUUACUUAUUUGUUUAUUUAAAUAUUAAAUUUAAUAAGCUUAUAGAACACAAUAUUGCGUAUAUCUUACACAUUAUUACUGUUUAUAUUCUCAUUUAUUCAUGCAACGCCUCGCAAACGAAUGGAGAUAAUUGUUGGAAAGGUAUACAUUUUACACUUAAAACAUAUAGUUAUACUCAAAGCUAUUAUAAUUUGCUAUAAUGAUUGAAAACCCUUCUUGUACGGAAGCCAAUUUUCAAAAAUAUACUCUGAUUUCUAGGUUAUGAAUAAAAAAUCGAUGUUGCAUUCUGAUUGUAUACGCGAUAACGAAUCUGACUAAUAAGUUACCUCACACAUGUAGAUCACGAAUUUCCUUUAUUAUAAAUGUAUGUGAUUGUCAUACACGAAUUAGAUCCGUUAUUUUGUAUUAUAAAAAAAUGAGAUUCACUAAUUAGAAUUCGUAAUUAAGUUUUGGGAGGACUUUAAAAAGGGGCUGUCUGAUUCUAUUAAACACAUUUUGCUAAAUUUGGGAUUUAUUGGGGAAACAUGUAUCGCAGCUUUAUAGGAAACACUUGUAAACAAUUAUACAUGUACAUAUAACUAAGUUAUCUUAAUUAUACAUGUACAUAUAACUAAACUAAGUUAUCUUAGAACGACAUUAAGGUGUCCUAUUAUUACCUGAGCCUUUGUACUACUUUUUUUUUACAUUGAGAUUGUCAUGCACUUUUCGACUAAAAUCCUUAGAUUUAUUUGUCAAUUUGUAAUUGGCAGGCAACCAACCAACCAACCUACCUACCAACCAACCAACCAACCAACCAACCAACCAACCAACCAACCAACCAACCAACCUACCUACCUACCUACCAACCAACCAACCAACCAACCAACUUAAAGUGGUAGAAUCAAACAAAACGUCCAUACCAUAACCAUAAUACCAACAACCAUACAUACAUACCAUACAUACAUACAUACAUACAUACAUACAUACAUACAUACAACAUACCAUACAUACAAUACAUACAUACCAUUACAUACAUACAUACAUACAUACAAUUACCUACAUACACAUACCUACAAAGAUACAAUAAUACAAACAUUACAUACAUACAUACAUACAUACAUACAUACAUACAUACAUACAUACAUACAUACAACUACAUACUACAUACAUACAUACAUACAUACACAUACAUACAUACAUACAUACAUACAUACAUACAUACAUACAUACAUACAUACUUACAUACAUACAUACAUACAUACCAUACAAUACACAAGAACAUACAUACAUACAUACAUACAUACAUACAUACAUACAUACAUACAACCACAUACAUACAUACAUACACAUCUACAUACCAUACCAUACCUACAUACAUACAUACACUACCUACCUACAUACCAUACCUACAUACCUACCAUACCAUACAUACAAUACAUACUACAUACAUACAUACAUACACAUACAUACAUACAUACAUACAUACAUACAUACAUACAUACAUACAUACAUACAUACUCACACUCACAUACAUACAUACAUACAUACACAUACAUACAUACAUACAUACAUACAUACUACCAUACAUACUACAUACAUACAUACAUACAUACAUACAUUACAUACUACAUACCAUACAUACAUACACUACAUACACAUAACAUACAUACAUACCAUACAUACAUACAUACAUACAUACAUACAUACAUACAUACAUACAUACAUACAUACAUACAUACAUACAUACAUACAUACAUACAUACAUACAUACAUACAUACAUACAUACAUACAUACAUACAUACAUACAUACAUACAUACAUACAUACAUACAUACAUACAUACAUACAUACAUACAUACACCAUACAUACAUACAUACAUACAUAACAUACAUACAUACAUACAUACAUACAUACUACAUACAUACAUACCUACCAUACCAUACCAUACAUACAUACAUACAUACAUACAUACAUACUACAUACAUACCAUACAUACAUACACAUACAUACAUACAUACAUACAUACAUACUACAUACAUACAUACAUACUACAUACAUACAUACAUACAUACAUACAUACCUACAUACAUCAUACCAUACAUACCUAUACAUACAUACAUACAUACAUACAUACAUACAUACAUACAUACAUACAUACAUACAUACAUACAUACAUACAUACAUACAUACAUACAUACAUACAACAUACAUACAUACAUCCAUACAUACAUACAUAAUACAUACAUACAUACAUACAUACAUACAUACAUACCUACCAUACCAUACCAUAACCAUAAUCAUCCACCUACAUACAUACAUACCAUACCAUCCACCAUACAUACUACCAUACAUACAUACAACCAACCAUAAUUACAUACCAUACAUACAUACAUACAUACAUACAUACAUACUACAUACAUACAUACAUACAUACUACAUACAUACAUACUACAUACAUACAUACAUACAUACAUACAUACAUACUACAUACUACAUACAUACAUACUACAUACAUACAUACAUACCAUACAUACUACAUACAUACAUACAUACUACUGUUACAUACAUGAAAAUCAUUUACCUACCUACGUACCUACCUACAUACAUACAUACAUAUUCUUGUUCAUUGAAAAUCAUUUAUGUAGAAAUAUAUACUCAGAUAUUUAUGUGUGUCUACCAACUUACCUUCAUACAUACAUACAUGAACUUACAUUCAAACAUUCCAUUAUUUUCAUAAAAUAUAUCUUAGUAAAUGGUGGAUGGUCGACAUGGUCAUAUUCUGAUAUAUGCACAGUAACCUGUGGCAUUGGGACACGAACAAAGACACGAACCUGUAACAAUCCCCCACCUCCAGGAAGUGGUUCAAAUUGUCAAGGAUUUAGUUCUCAAUUAGAGAGUUGUAAUUUCUUUCCAUGUCUAGGUAAGUAAUAUUAAAAAUUUAAUUAAUAUUAUCAAUUUUAAUUGGGUAAACAUAGAAUUUAUGUACUGAAAACCAUGAUGAGACUAGCUUGGACGCUAGUCUCUACUAAGCACAUCCAUCUUUGAGAGAAUAAAAACAUAUUUUAAUGAGCUGAUUACUGUUUACGUUUAUUUUUCAAUGAAAUAUAUACUCAUAGUGAAUAUACAGUGUGGAUCAUAAAAUACUCUUGUCACUGUAUAUGCCUUAGAUUUUUAAUUUAGAAUAUCAAAUGUAUACACAAAGAAAAAAGUUAAGCACCCCCACGUUUUUUAACAUUGACAAAUAUUACGAUAAGGGACAUGGAAUCCUUGGACAAUUGGUGCUAUACUUAGUAAUGCAGACUGUAAGGACAUAACAUUAGCUUUAAGAAAUACACAACAAAUUGCAACAAAAACGAUAAUUUAAUGAAUAGAUUCUCACAAAACCACAAGUCCAGUUUAAACACUAAAACGUGUCCAUUUUAUGUAUGGACCUUCUGAGUUCGUUAUGCAUGAUACUAAUGUCAUUUCACUUAGAAAACGUCCAUUACAAAUCUGUUUAUGUUAUCCAUAGUUCAGUAUUCAAUAUCGGGUGAAACCACCACGUGAUUGGAUACAGGCCUCAACCCUGCGUCUCAUCCCUCCAAUUAGUCGUCGGAUUUCCUGCUGUGGUAUUUGCCGCUAUUCCCGGUGCAACUCUGCUUCCAACUGACGUAAAUUAUGUACAGAUGGUUCGGUUGCCAGACCCGACGGCCUUACGUGUCCCAAAUAUGCUCUAUUGGAUUCAAAUCCGGGCUCAUGACAGACCAUGGAAGAGGAGUUACUGCUUCGCCUUGCAGAAAUGCGAUAACCCCCCAUUGAACGAUGCGGCCUAGCGUUGUCAUCCAUAAACACUGGUCUUGCAGCUACAUGUAAUGGGUAGUUAUCAAAAUGAGGUACAACUACUGGCCGAAGAACGUCACUGAUGUAUUGAUCACCAUUAAGGUUUCCUCGUAUAAUGACCAAGUCCAAUUUGCAUUCAUGAGAGAAGCGUUCCCAUACCAUCACAGAGCCUCCACCGUAAGGGACAGUUGCUUUGACGUUCCUUAGGUUAUGUGCUGUAUUUUUAUGUCUCUAAACUCUCAAUCUCCCAUAUGUUACAUGCAGAAGAAACUGGCAUGUCUGACCAAUGGAUCUUGCGCCAGUUCCUCAAGUUCCAACCACGACGAGCUAAGCACCAUGCCAACCGCAGUUGUUGAUGUCGGUGUGUUGACAUGGGACGUCUUAUUACCCUCCUUGACUUCAGUCCUGCUGAUUUCAACCGGUUCCUCAAGGUUCUGGUUGAUAGCUGUCUAUAAGGUUACUAUUCUCUUUAAAGAACAUGACUUGCUGCGAAUGGCUUUCGUCUAACCAGGCGUUCCAGUGCCCUGUCUUCACGCUGCGAUGUAACCAAUGGUCUACCAGAUCUUGGCAAGUUUUUAACGUGAUGGUUUGGAUGUGUUUCCGCACAAGCCUGCUGACUACAGUAUAAUUGUAGCCCAUCUGACGUCCAAUAGCUUUAUAGGAUAACCCUGCCGACUGCAUGCCGAUAAUCUGCCAUUUUUGAGCCUCCGAUAUUCGUCUUCGUACCAUGUUCACAGAGUGUAGAUAAAUGUUUCAAAUCGCCGGCUUUAAAUACUCAAAUUUGAAGCGCGGUGAAACUGCGUUUUGUAAUUUGAUGUGAGGCAUGGUUCACGUGCAUUAUACGUCGAUAUCUUAAUAAACCGGUCAAACCUGUAUGGUCAUAUCUUUUUAUAGGAACAUUGAUCUUGUUAAAAUCUAUAUUUAUAUUCAAAUUAACAUUUUGUUAAAAAAAAUGUAUUUUAAUAUAUCAGGGGGUGCUUAACUUUCUUCUUUAUGUAUACAGUCCGCCAAAAGUUAAGCACCACCGAAAUAUAACUGGCAAUAUUUUUUUAACUGUUGCAAAACAAAUAUUAAUUUUUGGUGUUAUGAAUUACCCCUAACAUACACUAAGAAAAUUCAUUACGACAAAAAAGAUUGAAUUCCAAUAAACCAGUCAAACAACCUUUUAUCAGAGAUCAUUUGUGCGUUUACAAAUACACUGUUUCUCCAGGUGGUCGUUUUAGUAUUCGUACAUUGGUCCGUCGACUUCAUAGCGGCAAACGAAGAGCAAGUCGUGGUGUAUAGAGACCUGUACCUUCAAGCAGGCAUUCUACCGUCAGGUUUAAAUGGGAUAAUGACCAUCUAUGCUUGAACAUAAGAACCUGACAAAACACUCAUUGAUCAGAUGGGAGUCAGUUUCCUUUCCUGCCAGUAGACGCCAUAAUACGAAUUUCGCAGGGGGAAAAACGGCCUAUGACCAAAAACAAUUUUUGCACAAGGACUGCAUUCAUUGCUGGUAGUGUUCCAGUACGGGGUUGCUUCUUAUACCGUUAUAAGCUGGGUAUGCGUAUUUUGCAGGGUAACAUAAACGGACAGACAUACAGAGAUUUGGUGCCUUAACACAUUGUAGUCCGUCAUUUUAAUAAUCCCCCACUUGCGUCAACAUUGUCAAGACCCUUGUACCUGAAUAACAACGCUAUACCACACAGAGCAAGAAUGUUAACCGAGUCCAAAGAGCAAUUAGCCAAUUACACUGAUUUUUGGCCUUCCUUGACUCCAUACAUAAACCCUAUCAAACAUGCAUCAACUCAAAAUGGUAUUUGAAAAAGUACUUUCCAUUUAGGAUUUUCCUUGGAGUUCGGUAUUUUUGUUAUUGAAUAUGUUUAAGCGCUAUAUGUUGCUGUUGAAAACAUGUUGUAGCACAGUCAAAGCUAGCAUGUUAAUGUCAAGUUUACAUCGCAUGACAUUGAUAAUCAAAAGAAUAAGUUUUGGUCCGAAAUUCUUGCAUAUAUUUUCUGAGUAAACAAUCACCUUUAUAUACAUUUUCAUAUAACAAAACUCAAAAUGUGGCAAAAUUUGUAAAAUUCGUGAUUAUGAGCUAUCGUUUUUGAACAUAGUCGCUUUGUACAGGUAAUUGUAAAUUGACUUUAUUUAGUAUUUCAAAUAAACGGGAAAUAGUCAAUAUCAUUCUAAAAAAAUUGAAAUAAUCGUAGUUCGUAGGUAGUAGUAUGUAAUUCCUGCCCCGGAAACAAGCUUUUACAAUACUUUUUCUUAUUCCUAACACAAUUUUGAAUAUGAAUACAUCUUUUGUGAAAGGUUCUAGUAAGAAAACUCUUUACAGUAUCUUCAAUGACAACUGAAACACACCACAUCAGCUGAAAAAAUGUUCCAGGAGGCAUGCUGCAGCAGGCCAUCACUAUUAAAAAAUGAAAAAUUAACAAAGGAUAAAAAAAUUAUUAAGAUUGACAUUACCCCAUGAAAUAAAAAAUAUGAUUUUUAUUUUCAGCGUGAGCAUGAGUCCAGCAAACAUUCUGAAAUCAUUUUAACAAUUUUAACAACCUACAAACAGGAUAUGUCCAGUAACAACACUUUAAUCACUAUUUUGCUAUUUCGUGGCGGUCAGUUUUUAUACGUGGACGAAGCCUUAACCACCAACAUUCGGUAGGAUAAUUGACAAUCCUAGUCAAUAAACUCAUCAUAGAUACAAGGACUAAAUUUUAAAUAUACGUCAGACGCGCGUUUCGUCUACAAAAGACUCAUCAGUGAAGUUCGAAUCCAAAAAAGUUGAAAAAAGCGUAAUAAAGUACGAAGUUGAAGAGCAUUGAGAUCAAAAAUUCCUUAAAGUGUUGCCAAAUACAGCUAAGGUAAUCUAUGCCUGAGUCAAUUAAGAUGUGUGUCAAGAGUACCUACCACGUGGCUAGUAAUUCAGUAGUUCUGCUACGUAGAGCAUUUGAAUACAUAGACCCCAACGUCGAACACUAAGCAAAUUCACAUUAUGAUUCUGUUACUUAAAUGAUAAAUUAUAACGAUAAAGGAAUGUAAAUUAUAUUUUAUUGUGUAUUAUAAUUAUGAAAAUUACUAUAAAUACUCUCAUAUUUACAGAAUCAGGAGAAAACAAUUCAGUACAACCAUUAGUAGUUGCAACAGUCAGUGGUGGAAUAACCAUUGUUUUAGCAAUACUGCCUUUGAUUUUAUAUGCAAAAAG